rnacentral:tRNA from 1 species
GGUUAUGGCUCAGUGGUAGAGUGCUCGCCUAUCAAGUGCGGGACCCUGGGUUCAAUUCUCAGCACCA